rfam:Dendroctonus ponderosae Seq01022425, whole genome shotgun sequence.
GUUGGUCACGUGUAUUCUUGGGUAAUUAACACAUAUUAAGGGUUGUUAUUGCUUGAGAAUACACGUAGCUGAC